CUUUUUUGAGUUAGAUCAGGCAUGGAAAAUCUGUUUCAUUUCAUAGGUUACCUUUGAUCAAAUGACGGUUGUCUGGAACUCCUUGUUGAGAAGAAUUCUGAGAUGAUAUCUGGGAUGAUGGAAAAAGAGUACUGACACCAGUCAAAAGACCAAGACAGCUGGAAAGACUGUCAUUCAAACAAUGUUCUAGCCUCAAGCCAAACCAAAGAAGGUCUGAACCUCGUGUUGUUUCUGACAAGGAGUUCCUACAUACCUUGAACUUCCCGGGUGUGGCAAUGUCUUUUGUUCUAAUGAGGCAACUCUGGGUGGGCUCCUGGAUGGAGACUGGCUGCAAGAAAGACCAAGCCAUGAUUAGAAGCUUGGAACUUUCCAUCCCCGAUUCUCCAGGUAGGAGUGAGGGGCUGGAAACUGAGUUAACAAUCAUUCAUGCCUACACGAUGAUACCUCCAUAAAGAGGCAAGGUAAAUGUAUUUGACUACGUUAGCAUUUUAAAACUUGUGAUUCAGGGUUAAGGUGACUACAUAUAUGCACCUGAAGUGGAUGGAAAGGGGGCAAGGCACAACCAUUGAAGGAGUGACACAACAAUUGAGGACAGGACAUAACUGGUUAGAACCAAGAUGGCAGAAUAUUCGACUUCCAGUAGACCUUGAGCCUCAUGAUACACCAACAGGUGCCAUGGCAGUUCCCAGGCUGACCAUAAAGGGUCAGAAAGUGGGCAGGGGGACGUUUCCUGGAAAUCCUUGCCCCUUCCCCAAAGUCAUUGAAAUAAUCCUCCUACCCAUUAGCAUAUGAAAUUGCCAAGCCCAUAGAACCUAAAACUCUGCACCUCCUGGUCACUCUCACUCUCCUCUCUCUCUUGCCUUCUGAGAUGGGCCACACUCUGUCUAUGUAGUGUGUAUCUCCUAAGCCAUUUUCCCUUCUGAAGGAGACAGAUUGCACUCUGUCUAUGGAGUGUGUCUCUCUAAAUAAACUUGUGUUCACUUUACCAUGCCUUGCUCUUGAAUUCUUUCCUGUGUGAGGCAAGAACAUCCCUAACACAUCUAAUUUUGGUUCCUCCCUAAACCCUAGGAAAACCACAAUAAAGGUGUUUAAAUGGACACAUAAACCCUUAAGAACAGGGAGAAUAUUUAACACAACAACAACAACAACAAAAAAAAAAAAAAAGAAAGAAAGAAAGAAAGAAAGAAAGAAAAAGAAAAGGGAGAAUAGAAGGUGACAGCAAAAACAUUUUUAGCAACCAACAAGCAAAUGGAUCAGUAAUAAUAACUAUAGAUAGCUCACCCAUCCUAGGUGACCAGCCACUGGUUAGAAAUAAAACACUUCAUAGAAUUCAUGUAGUUUUAAUUUUAUGUGGGAAAAUAAAUGGGCAAGAACAUCAGAGUACUCCAGAGUCAAAAGGGGUCAUGAGCAGAAUUUGUCCUGGCAGACAUUGAACCCUUUGAGACCCUUGGUAUGUAUAUAAGAAUAUCAACAACAAGAAUAUUAAAAAGCCCAUACCUUCCACCAUACUUGCCAAAAAAUUCCAGGUGGAUUGAAAGCUCAAUACUUAAAAAUAUAAACAGAUAUACUCCCAUGUAUGUGAACAGUCUAGCCCUGGGAGAAAUCACUUUUUGACUGCUGAUGGAAUAGAAAUGAAAAAAAGAUGGACAGGUUUGUUACUUAGAUAGUUUUAACUUUGAUGGAAUGAACAUCAAUAAAGCUGAGAUUUAAAAAUUCAGAAGAAUAGAGAAAAUGUUGGCCCAUAAACACGAAAGUUCAAAAACUGUAAAGUAUAAAAGCUCAUAUCAAUGGGCAAAAAUAUCAACUGUCCAUUAAACAAAUGAUUAAAAGACAGUUCAUAUAAGAAGAAACAUGAUUUUAAAUCAUGGUUUUUAAAAUAUUCAGUCCACCUUGUUGGUAAAAAUGGAACCUACUGUUAAGUUUCAUUUUGAACCUAAAAAUAGAAUUAGAAAAACUUUUGAAAAGUGAUAAAAACCCAAAGCCUGCAAGGCUUCAGGAAAGCAGAGCGGCUCAUGCAUUAAUGAUAGUAAUGUAAAUGAAGCCAGUUUUUCCCAAGGGCAAAAUGAUGCUUUAUUGAAAGAAUCAUAAAUUUGCCUAACCCCUGACCAAGUAAUAGAAUUUAUCCUGAGGAAAGAAUGUUUAAUAAAAAACAAAAAGUGUACAUAUGCAAUGUUUAUUUUAUGAUAGUAAAACACUGGAAGAUAGCUAAGAUGCCAACAAUGCCAAAAUACAGAAGCUAACUUUGGUAUAUCAAAAUGAUAUACUCAAAAUAUAAAGAUGAUACAGGAAAUAGAAAACAUUUGGUAAAAUCAGUAUAUUAUUGGUCAACUACAUCUCAGUUUAAAAAAUGUUUUGGUUUUAAAAUAUAAGAAGGUAAAAUGAAAAUGUUUAGGGUGAAAUGAACCUGUUUCCCAGUGAGAUGGAUUAGCCAGUGACAGACCAGCACUCCCACUUAAAACAACUAGAAAAUCAAAACAAAAAUUAGUAUAGUGAUAUAUAAAAGAUAUAAAAAUGAUACAGGGGAAUAGAAGACAUUUGGCUAAAUCAUAAAAGGAAGAAUACCAGACUGCGUUUACAUCAGAACUUUAAAAGAACCCUGAGUAUGCAGACAUAAAGGAGCCACAAGCACAGAUAGAGGGAACAUUUCUAGAUGGGUUAAGAUCAACAGACUUGUGAAUUAUUCUGUAAAGGUGUUAAAAUUCAAUUUUGAAAGAAUUUACUAUUCCUCUAAUGAGAACAGGAUUUUCUUUGCAGGACACUGAACUGGCUUAUUAAAGAAAUACAGUUCAUUGCUGCCCCCCUGACUGGACAGAUGGAAAGAUGAUGAUGUUUCACUUUGGUUCUGUGAACUUCACUGCAGCUAUAUUUACAUAGAGAAGAGGGUCUUGGCCGAUGUAAUCAAGCUAAAAUUAACUCAUACUGUAUUAGGGUAAACCCUAAUCUGGUGUCCUUUUAAGAAGAUGGAUGUUUGGACACAGGCAAAUAUCAGGAAGACACUGUGUGACAACGGAGGCAGAGACUGGAAUGAUGCAGCUGCAAGCCAAGGAUUGGGGGCAACCACCAGAAGCUUGGAGAGAGGCAUGAGACACUUCCACCCUCAGAGCCUCCACUAAGAACCAACCCUGCCAACAACUUGAUUUCAGACUUCUGGCUCUAGAACUGUGAAAGAAUAAAUUUCUUUUGUUUCAAGCUA